CUCACGAGCUCAUCCACGGCGCCUCUCUCCGUCACCCGCGUCGCCGCAGCCCCCCGCCUCUUCUUUCUUUCUCUCGGUGUCCAUCAGCUCCGGUGUUUCCAUGAUAGAUUGGAGGACGGGGAGGAGAAGGAAGGAGCCGCCGUAGUCAGCGCCAUGGUGGAUGAGGCAGGCAACAGAGGAGGAUGGGUAUGAAUCACAAGAAAGGUGGAAGUCAACAUUUGUUAGACAUGGCGUUUAAUUGUGCACAAGAAUGAAGUUCAAUAGCUUUUCCAGAUUUAACAAAUCAACAGGUGUUAUAUCCAUGCAAGAGGUACAUGCCGAUGCAUUGGAAGUCUUAUGUUUGUGGAAGGAGAAAGCAAGGAGGCAACUGAAGAUAACGCUUAAAAGAGCAGCCCAUGUGGAUGCACAGCUUGAAUAGUAAAUUUAAUGGAGAUUUGUCAUCCAAUUGGUAGCUUCCUCUUUGUAGCCAUCUUCUUUGCUAGAGCUGCAACUAGUAUCCUCUCUGGAGUAGUUAUGCUGGUUUGUGAAUAAAUACCCUCUGUUAGCAAUAAAGCAAGGCAAUUGCACAUAUAUGUUAUGGCAUUUAUAUAUAAGAAAAUUGUUUUGUUUUUUACA